UACAGAGGUCCCAAGCGUUUGUUCGGAUUUACUGGGCGUAAAGGGUGCGUAGGUGGUUGGGUAAGUUUGAUGUGAAAUCUCCGGGCUUAACCCGGAAAUGGCAUUGAAUACUAUUCGGCUAGAGGUUUGGAGGGGGGACUGGAAUUCUUGGUGUAGCAGUGAAAUGCGUAGAUAUCAAGAGGAACACCAGUGGCGAAGGCGAGUCCCUGGACAACACCUGACACUGAGGCACGAAAGCUAGGGGGAGCAAACAGG
rnacentral:rRNA from 1 species